UACGUAGGGUGCGAGCGUUGUCCGGAAUUAUUGGGCGUAAAGGGCUCGUAGGCGGUUUGUCGCGUCGGGAGUGAAAACAUCCAGCUUAACUGGGUGCUUGCUUUCGAUACGGGCAGACUUGAGGUAUGCAGGGGAGAAUGGAAUUCCUGGUGUAGCGGUGAAAUGCGCAGAUAUCAGGAGGAACACCGGUGGCGAAGGCGGUUCUCUGGGCAUGAUCUGACGCUGAGGAGCGAAAGUGUGGGGAGCGAACAGG
rnacentral:rRNA from 1 species